rnacentral:RNase_P_RNA from 1 species
UUAGCAGACUUAUCUUAUCGUCUCAAACUAGUUUUGAGAAGGAAAGUCCGGACACCAAAGAGUAAGCAUAGCGGAUAACAUCCGUCCAACGUAAGUUGAGGACAAGUGCAACAGAAAGUACGUACAGUUAGGCUGUAGUGAAACCAGGUAAACUCUAUGCGGUGCAAUGCCAUGUAUAUUAGAGCUUGAGAGCUACUCGCUCGAUUCUAAAGGGUAGGCAGAUUGACCUUAAAAGUAAUUUUAAGGCUAGAUAAAUGAUAAGAACCUUUUUAAGGAUACAGAAUUCGGCUUAUUAGUCUGCUUUUUUA